UUCUGCACCUGAACUGUUGUUGACUUCGAGCUGCCGUCACAUUACAGACUGUGGAUGCAUUUUGAAGACAAUAAUCCUCAUGUAGACGAUCGGAGUUUGAACUUAAUCGCUUGAAAAUGAUUUCUCAGCUCCGCGGCAGAAGAAGAAAGCUGUUUUCCGCCUUUUACCCUGGAGCACGUGUUCAUUUAAAGCCCCCACUGCUUGUAAACACGUUGCAGCCUGCUAACCUCGAACCACAUGAUCAGCCUGCUGUGCCUGGCUGGUUUCACUGUACGGUUGGUGGAAAUGCAGGCUUGGUUUCUGGUGGUUUAGGUUCAGUUUUCUGAGAAACUGACAGGAAAAAGACAAGAGAACACAGCUCAGCUGUUUCCUGUUUAUGUUGACGGGAAGAUAUAAUUUGCUAGCAAGAGGCAACAUAGAUAAGGAUGAUUUAGCGAAGUGAAUCGGGAAAGAUGAGCUCACAAAUUAGAGAUUAGACUCAGAAAAAAAUUGGGAGAUCGAGAAACAAAGAGGAGAAGUGGCUUAUUAGAGGUAUAAAAAUAUGGUGUGAAUAAGAAAAAGAGUUUGUGAAAGAAAGAAGAAAUGUUUAAAAAAAAUAGAAAGACUUUGAGAACUGAGAGGAAAUAUACUGAGAGUAGAAGAGAGAAAGCAGCUGACAGGAAGAUCUGCGCCUCUUCUUCUCCACUAUGAACACAGCUGUGUGAAAACACACACACACACACUUUGUCAAACGGCUUCAAAACACCCACAGUCAAGACGCAACAGUCAGCAGCAUCCACGUGUAAGCGCAAACACACAGGCGUAAAAUGUACAGAACACACUGUGCCAGGGUCGAAAAAGGGAACACAACUUAAUUACUCACAAAUCCACUUGAGCAGGCACAAAAGCAUGUACACACACACACACACACACACACACUCGGCCUUGUAGAUUCACCACAACAAGGAGAAAGAAAAAAAGCACAUUUGAGCUUAUGGUGAGACCUACAGUCAAAACAUACUCACACGCUGAUAACAAAUUAUUAUUUUAUUUUCAAAGUUUGAUUUUAUUGACUAGCAAUGAGCUACCUUGUUACCAGCAUUGGACUUAAAAUAGAAACAGUUUCCAGAAAUUAUGACAGUAAUAACUAAGCUAAUUUAUUCCAGUUUAACUGGUAAACACUGAGUAUGUUUGUGUCUCUGGGUGAUCCGGCUGACUCCUGUGGUGGUGAGAUAUGGAUGAUAAAGCAACGGCAAAACAUUUAACGUGCAAAAACAGCCGUGACCUACAUAAGAGCGGCAGCUUAAUGAGUAACUGUAACAGACUAAUUUCCCUACGGGACUAAUAUGUUACUCAUUACCCAUAAAACACCAUGAAAGGUACACAACCUGGAAUUGGAUAAAUAAAAAAGGUUAUGCAUGGUAAUCCUAAUCCUAUAUGCACAGGUGGAGCCCUGCGAUGGGCUCUAUUGACUUGAUGAGACAAAGCAUUACAUGUAUUUUUGUUAGCCAAUCGCGAUGUGAUUCCUUUUCCCUUUCCCCUUGUUGCCUAGGAUGAUUUAUCAAGUAUGAUCGUGUCCCUGCCGUUGGCUACAGAUACUGCCCCCUUUUUUAAACUUGCCUCUGCUUCACUAACCUACACACAUUCAACAGUUUUUCUCUGUCAGACGGUCUCUUUAGUUGAGCUUCGAAAAGAUGAAACAUGACCCUUGAACGGGACCCCCAGUCAGCAGUAGAUAGUAGUUUGUUUAAAAUCAAUUGGAUGCAUCUCAACAACACUUUUUGCUGGUUAUCAGUGUUUUCUUUGGGUCUAUCGUCUUGUCCCUACUCAUGUCAUCAAAUAAUCUUAUUAGGACUUAGGACCCAGCGUCCCUGGGAUGAUUCGCGAGGUAAACCAUUGAAAUACGAGGUUCAUGUUACAUGUUGGUUAGCUGGCUUGGUGGAAUUCUCUGGUGUGCUUGCUCUAUGGCCCGCAAGAUGCAGAAGCAUAGAAUAUGACAAAGAUCUGGGUCAUUUUACACCUGGAAGUCUAACUUUUUUGGCUUCAUGUGCCACUGAGCAGCUUUCAUAUAGGAAUGAACAGAGCCCUGCCUCCAACGGUGUAUCCAGUUCUCCUCAAUACAGUCAUGGCCUGAAUGCAACCUUAGCAACAGAAGCACUGUCAAAACCUCAUACAAUUGAUUAAAUUAAUAUACUAUUGUCCUCUAUUGUGCUUAAAUAUUACUUGCUGGUAGUAGAUACCCAUGCAGCUUAAAAUAUGAAUGGUUGAUACCCCAGCCAGAGGACCAGAGGUCAUGUAUGAGAAAUUACACUGAGUAAUGAAAGCCAGUGAAAUAGAGGCUAAACCAGAACUGAGGUGGGUCUCAUCCAUACAGCCUGUGUGUAUUAAAACUGUCUAUGUGGAGAAUAAAACAGUAAUCUAUGGGACAGCAUGGAGAAGAAUAGAGAGUGGGUUAAUAGAGGGAAGGUUUAAGUGUGCCAUGGGAUGCAGAUAGAGGGGAUGUUUUUCAUGUUGCUGUAUACAGUCCAUUAUCAUCUCCUACUGUUUUGGACCCUCAGCAGUGAUCGUAAACCGUUUUCGUUGUUGGCAGUACAGUUAUUGAGCUUACCAGAGGUAGAUGAAGACAGACUGAGCAGCUGGAGGACAAUGGCUGCAAAUCAGAGCCUAGAGGAGGGAAAAUGAAAGACAGAGUGGGAAAAAAAGAUGAUAAAGGGAGACUGUUGAGCAGCCACAGGGAUGGGAUUUUUCUCUUUAUUAAUUUUAACAGUGGGAGACAUUGGAGACGCCCGGUCUUUGCUGAUGUGCACUGAUGAGGUAGAUCUAUUAUCCCUUAUUGAUUUCACUUAUUGAAUUAAUAUCACAGAGGGGGGGAUGCAGAGAAAGAGAAGGGGAAAUAGGGGAAGGACUCAUAAGAUUUGAUAUAUGGAGCUGCUGCUCAAUAUUUGGAGGAUUUCUGUCAUAUUUUAUACAUUCAGUAUUACUUUCCCUGUUUCUUCCAACUUUCAACACAACCCAAAAAAGAAAGACAUCGACAAUACGUGAGGACACACACAUACUCCACCACCCCCAUCGCAGCUGUUGGGGUGUGGUGAGGGGGAGAUACGUGCCACAACCCCUCCGCUUGCAUUUGAAUGAGUUCUAGUAGGGUUUAGAGCAGGCUUGGCUGGAAUGGGUUGGAACCAUUCCACACAUUCCUGCGCCACCAUGCACUCUCUGUUGCCCUACUUGUGUCUGGGUUGGGAAAUGCACGUACAGUUCUCCCACGCACUCAAACUCCCACAAGUACACGGCGAAGGGGGGAAGCCAUCUUGCUUUUCCUUGUUUCCAGAUUGUAAAUAAAAGGCUUGAGAAGAGCACACGGGAAAGAUACAAGUAGCGUGCCCCCAGCUUUUGGCUCCUCGAUGACUCUCCACCACAGCUGGGGUUGUUUUUGAACCACCGAGUGCAUCAGCAACCGAAAACAACUGUGCCGCAUUUCUGUGAAAAGCCACUCCACUCCUUGUAAAGAGAGUGCUGACCUCUUCAAAAGGCACCAUUUUUUUUGUCCCUGUCUUCUUGUCUCGCUCUGUCCUUCCUUGCAUAGUUCUAUUUUUACAUGACUAUUGGUUCUGAAAUGUAGAGUAGACUCAAACAGCUGUGAUUCACAUCCUACAUCUUGCCAUAAGUUCACUUUGCCAAAACACAGAAAUCCAGGGUGCGCCAAAUAACACAGAAAAGGAGAUAACAGAUUUUGGUUUUCUUGGAAAUGUCAAAUACAGGCCACCGUGACCUUCUCAGAGGGCUGACAGAGGCAGGAAGCUGCUCGAUACAUGACAAAAUUAAGUUAUAAUCGUAGUUAAAUUGGAUUUAAAGAAAUGAAUGUAUUAAGAUCAAAUCCUCUGUUCCUUUUCUAUCUACUCCUUAUUUCUACCAUGAAAUACAUUCUUAGAAAAAGGACAAUCCUUAAAUUAGCUAGUACAAAUGUGCACCUAGGCAUAGUCCACAGUUUAAGGGAGAAUCUAAAAGCUACUCUUAGAGUUUGCGCUUUAUUCCUGCUUGUCUCCAUUCAGUUCUCUUCCUCCUGAUUCCUCUAUAAGGAUAAAAAAUGGAAAUGAUACACUAUGUAGAUCCACCAUGUAAACUGCAGUGGCAAUUCUGGAACAUGAAAGCAUUCUUUGACUGUGGCUGCAUACGCUUGGCCUACUUUUUGAUUCCAUUAAAUUAUUGGGUGGGUGGGAGGAAAGGCUGCGCUGUCUUUUAAGUAUUAGCAAGCUGGAUGUCAGAUGUAUAUGUGUGUGUGUGUGUGUGUGUGUGUGUGUGUGUGUGUGUGUGUGUGUGUGUGUGUGUGUGUGUGUGCAAUAGCAUAACAUGUAUUUAUUAUUGUAAUUACAUAUUAUUUGACUUGCUUAAUUUCCGAACAUCCAAAUAUGUCAAAGUGCAUUUACAUAUUCCCACUUCAUCUUUACAUUAUAUGUAUGCGUUAUGCAGUAUCCAAGUGAUCUAUAUGUGUUUUGCCAUGACCAUAAAAUCUGCGCAUUGAGUCUGUUUCACGCUGUGUGUCAGUCAAUAUAAUGUUCUAGUAACUGCUAGACUUUAUUAUUAAUAGCUAUUGGUGAAAGGCUGAUUACUGAGUGAGUGAAUGAUGGGGUGUUACUGUACUCUCAUGUUUCCGUUUGAACCGACUGAGACAGGAGUGAAAAAAUCCGAAAUCAAAAUGAGGAUUGACCUUACUGACAAAGAUAAGAACCUUAACUCGUAACGUAAACAAACUCAAAUAAAGUGUGAAAAGAAUGGAAAUAUUAUAAUAUUUAAAGCAGUGAAACCUGGGGCAAUAUUUCAUGCAAAAAUGAGGGACGGUGACUUUGGACUUUGUGUUUUGUUGUCGGAUUUUGCUCUUCGUAGCAAUAGCCAUUCAGCGUAUUUGCAUUCUGUGAGCACUCCUUUAUUUGCAUAUUUCCACUGGUUCUGUCAACAUUCUUGGCAAAUAUGCAAAUAUUAUGAAUACACAGGAUAUGAUGCAUGUCGAAAUCUGAGGAGAAGAAACAGAGGCUUGUUAGCCAUUGGCUAUUGGGUAAUCGAUGGAUUAUUUUUUAUUUAUUUAUAAUAAAAAACACUGAAAGCAUUCCUGGUUUGAACACGCUCAAUAUUUGGAGGUGUAGCCAAACAGCUAAAAUCUCAGACUUAUCUCAGGCUGUCACUGAAUAGUGCACAUUGUAUUUAAAGCUACUCCAUUUACUUUUUUUGCAAACAACAGAAAGUUCAGUAUUUCUUACUAGACCACAUCCUAUAUCCUUGAGGUCUAACAAAAGUGUCAAACACAUUUCCGCCCUCGUGAAACAUGGCAAUUUUCGCAAUACUUUAAAUAAUUCUCCCCGGCAUAUUACUGCCACCUGUUGAUCAGUGGAAUAGUGUGACACCAUUUAAAUUCAGGGAUCUGUUAUGGAGUAUUUGAACGAGUAAAAUCCCAGUUGGUUAAAUGUAAUCAUUUGUUAGUUUUGUCUAGAAAUUAAGAGAAAGAUAAAUAACAGUAAAACGAGCAGUUGUUGUAUUUAGUCAUUUUCCACCAUUUAAUGAUGAAUAUGACUAAGGAACUGGCUGGUGAAGGCAAACUAGAUCAGAUACGAUCACUUGUGCCUGCAUUUGUUCCUGUCUGUCAGGAGUGAAAUCCAACGUGACUAAGAGCAUGAUUGUCUGCAAAAUUUCACAAUGAGCUAGUGUGAGUAAGAGAGAGUUUUAUGUGCACGUACUAAGUAUCACGUCUUGAUGUGUUUGUGUGUGUGCACAUCUCUUUCUCCUGGGAAACAGAGUCUGCAGUUAUCCAAGCGCCUUUAAUCUGCCAGCAUGGAACAAACCUGCUUAAGUAAUUUCAGCCGAGGUAUCCACAGUGAGGGUGUUUUUAUAGCUUUUUUUUCUCUACAGAAUUCAAUAUGGGAGCCAAACAUAGGAAGACCUGCAUGGUUUCUGCCAACAACAAAACCUGUUCAAAGAGAAAAACUAAAGCUUCCUCUCCCGCAUCCCCGCACCUCACCAAGGACAACUUUGAUGUCAUCCAAAACAAUGUUUAUCUUCCCUCUGUGUACCACAGCUUUGUUUAUGAGUUAUCCCUAUAUGCUGCACUGAUAGGUUUCUGUUUAUUGUUCUUGGGUGUGUGUCACAGGGGAGGGAGGAGACAGCUGUCAGCAGUAAAUAAUAGUCUAUACAUUUGUGUUUUUUCUCUUAAUUGGAGCAAUGUUUGGGAAUUGUGGCCGGUUCACAUUUUAAAAUAAUGGAAAAUAAAUGUUUUAAUAGCAAGUUGUUUGAAAUUUCUGUAAAAUGAACUCAUAUACUUUCUUGCUGAAAGUAAGAUGAGAAGCUUGCUACCACUAUCGUCUCUGUGAAAAGUGGGCCUAGAAAGUGAUUAGCUUAGCUUAGCUAGCAUACAAACUGGGGGCCAGGGGAAACAGAUAACCCAGCCACAGUUUGAUAAAAUAGCACAUAACCGUCUUUAAAACCACAACUGGUUGUUUUUACAUUUGUUUGUAUACGGAUUAAAUAAAUGAGACAUGGAAAGUUCAUUUGUUACUUUAUACUAGGCUAAGCUAAGCUAAGCUUCAUAUUUAAUAGACAGACACGUGAGUGAUAUCAAUCUUCUCAUCUUACUCUCCUCAACAAAGUGAAUAAACAUAUUUCCCUAAAUGUCAAACUUUAACUCUUUAAGUCUGAGUUGCAGUUCUUUAUUCAUAUAUUUUUUUGGCUUUUAUUAUUUUAUUUCUUUUAUCUUUUUCUUUGUCCAAUGAUUAUUUCCCUUAAUUGUUACAAGACACAAUUUAAUAUAACAAAAUAAAAAGUAAAAAAAAAGGGACAUCUUCAAAUUGCUAAAACUUUAUUGAUCCCACACUGGGGAAAUUCCUUUGAUUCCACUUUUAUUAAAUUGACUGAAGCUUAUCAAAUCCUCAUAUUUAAGAAGUGAAAUGUUUCAUAUUGUUAAUGUCUUUAAUAUUUUGUUUUCUAUUCAUCAGCUUUCAUUUAUCCAACUAUUUCCAGCACAAAUUCAAGACACACAUGUCCCAAACAGCAUUUCAGCCAUCUGAUGCAUAUCAAUGUGUUUCUGGUUUAUGCUCCAGUACCAGCAGAUGCUCACAGUCUGCAUGAGUGUAUACAUUGUGGACAAGCUGGCAACUGUGCACAUAUGUGCGUUGUGCAUGUGGACAAUGCCACCAGUUGCUGUGGGUGGAAGCUCCCUGGUCGUCUGCCAGGGUGUGGGGAGGGACUGACCACGAUAUAAUGGAGGGUGUGAGCUGACGGCGGGGGAGGGAGGCACAGGAGGAGGAGACGGAGGGGAAGGAGGAGGUGGUGAGACAAGGGGGGUGGUAAGCAGAGAUAAAGCCAGACAGAUGGGGCAGACAAUGAGGCAUAGACACCCACCCUGCAUGUCAACAACACCCCCCAGCUUCCUUCAAACUUUAGCUAUUCCAUUAUCUCUCCCCGUGUGCCAGACUUUCUUUACAUUCUUGCUUCCCCGCCACAUUUUUUUUGUCUUGUUUUUCUCCAUUUCCUAGCUUAAGGUUGAUUAAAGUAGCACAAAAUAUUGCAUUGAGUUCUCUUUUGCCGCAACAACUUUUUGUUCACAUUCUCCGUUCAAAUAAACUUUCUUCCUCCUUC